GCCAGGCACAUUGGCGCAUGCCUGUAAUCCCAGCGGCUCAGGAGGCUGAGGCAGGAGAAUCACGAGUUCAAAGCCAGCCUCAGCAAUUUAGCAAGGCCCUAAGAAACUCAACGAGACCCUGUCUCUA
rnacentral:sRNA from 1 species